GAUGAAGAACGCAGCGAACUGCGAUAAGUAAUGUGAAUUGCAGAAUUCAGUGAAUCAUCGAGUCUUUGAACGCACAUUGCGCCCCCUGGCAUUCCGGGGGGCAUGUCUGUCCGAGCGUCAUUGCUGCCCUUCAAGCCCGGCUUGUGUGUUGGGUCGUCGUCCCCCCCGGGGGACGGGCCCGAAAGGCAGCGGCGGCACCGCGUCCGGUCCUCGAGCGUAUGGGGCUUUGUCACCCGCUCGAUUAGGGCCGGCCGGGCGCCAGCCGGCGUCUCCAACCUUCUAUUUUACCAGGUUGACCUCGGAUCAGGUAGGGAUACCCGCUGAACUUAAGCAUAUCAAUAAGCGGAGGA
rnacentral:misc_RNA from 1 species